UACGUAGGUGGCAAGCGUUGUCCGGAUUUACUGGGCGUAAAGAGCGCGCAGGCGGUUGUUUAAGUCGAAUGUGAAAGCCCCCGGCUCAACUGGGGAGGGUCAUUCGAUACUGAUCGACUUGAAGGCAGGAGAGGGAAGUGGAAUUCCGGGUGUAGUGGUGAAAUGCGUAGAUAUCCGGAGGAACACCAGUGGCGAAGGCGGCGACCUGGGUAGAUACUGACGCUGAGGUGCGAAAGCGUGGGGAGCAAACAGG
rnacentral:rRNA from 1 species